AAUCGAUUCAAAUCAACUUGAAAAUAUGUUCAAAUUCGUUACUUUCUUCUUCUUCGCCUUAUUGGCCGUAGCUUUCGCUGCACCAAAGGCAGAUCCACAAGUUGUUGCCGCUUACACCGCACCGGCUACGUUCGUUUCAGAUUUGACGUAUUCGGCGGUUCCUGCAGUUUCGCCUGUAGCUUAUACCGCUGGAGUGGCUCCGGUACCAUAUGCGGCCCCUCUCGUAUACUAUUGAAGAAAAUGAAGGAAAAAGGACUAAAAUUAUGAUAAUGACGAUGAUUUCUGUUAUAAAUAUCGGUAAAUAAACAAAAACUUUUACUAACAAA